rnacentral:tRNA from 2 species
ACUUCGAUGGUGUAAUGGCAGCAUCUCAGUCCCCAAAACUGAUGGUAUUGGUUCGAGUCCGGUUAGGAGUG